UCCCUGGUAGCUCAGUUGGUGAAGAAUCCGCUUGCAAAGCAGGAGACCCAGGUUCAAUCCCUGGGUGGGGAA
rfam:TPA: Bos taurus chromosome X, whole genome shotgun sequence.